CAGUAGCCGCGGGAAUACAGAGGGUGCGAGCGUUAAUCGGAUUUACUGGGCGUAAAGCGCACGUAGGCGGCUUGGUAAGUUAGAGGUGAAAGCCUGGAGCUCAACUCCAGAAUUGCCUUUAAGACUGCCGAGCUAGCAGGUGAGAGAGGUAAGUGGAAUUCCGAGUGUAGAGGUGAAAUUCGUAGAUAUUCGGAAGAACACCAGUGGCGAAGGCGGCUUACUGGCUCAUACUGGACGCUGAGGUGCGAAAGCGUGGGGAGCAAACAGGAUUAGAUACCCCUGUAGUCCCUGUCUCUUAUAC
rnacentral:rRNA from 1 species